AUUGAACGCUGGCGGCAGGCUUAACACAUGCAAGUCGAACGAGUGGCGGACGGGUGAGUAAUGCUUGGGAAUCUAGCUUAUGGAGGGGGAUAACUCCGGGAAACUGUAGCUAAUACCGCGUACCAUAGGAUGAGCCCAAGUGGGGUUAGGGAGUUGGUGAGGUAAAGGCUCACCAAGCCGGCGAUCUCUAGCUGGUCUGAGAGGAAGACCGGUCACUCUGGGACUGCGACACGGCCCAGAGUCCUACGGGUGGCAGCAGUGGGGAAGAGUGCGGAAUGGGGGCAACCUGACGCAGCCAUGCCGAGUGAAUGAAGAAGGCCUUCGGGUUGUAAAGUUCUUUCGGUAGCGAGGAGUUAACAACAGAAGAAGAACCGGCUAACUCCGUGCCAGCAGCCGCGGUAAUAC
rnacentral:rRNA from 1 species